rnacentral:rRNA from 1 species
AGUGAACGCUGGCGGUAGGCCUAACACAUGCAAGUCGAACGGCAGCACAGUAAGAGCUUGCUCUUACGGGUGGCGAGUGGCGGACGGGUGAGGAAUACAUCGGAAUCUACCUUUUCGUGGGGGAUAACGUAGGGAAACUUACGCUAAUACCGCAUACGACCUACGGGUGAAAGCAGGGGAUCUUCGGACCUUGCGCGAUUGAAUGAGCCGAUGUCGGAUUAGCUAGUUGGCGGGGUAAAGGCCCACCAAGGCGACGAUCCGUAGCUGGUCUGAGAGGAUGAUCAGCCACUCUGGAACUGAGACACGGUCCAGACUCCUACGGGAGGCAGCAGUGGGGAAUAUUGGACAAUGGGCGCAAGCCUGAUCCAGCCAUACCGCGUGGGUGAAGAAGGCCUUCGGGUUGUAAAGCCCUUUUGUUGGGAAAGAAAAGCAGCAGGUUAAUACCCCGCUGUUCUGACGGUACCCAAAGAAUAAGCACCGGCUAACUUCGUG